rnacentral:rRNA from 1 species
UACGAGGGGGGCGAGCGUUUGUUCGGAAUUAUUGGGCGUAAAGGGUGCGUAGGCGGUUUGGUAAGUCUUUUGUGAAAUCUCUGGGCUCAACUCAGAGUCUGCAGGAGAAACUGCCGGGCUGGAGUGUGGGAGAGGUGAGUGGAAUUUCCGGUGUAGCGGUGAAAUGCGUAGAUAUCGGAAGGAACACCUGUGGCGAAAGCGGCUCACUGGACCACAACUGACGCUGAUGCACGAAAGCUAGGGGAGCAAACAGG